rnacentral:rRNA from 1 species
UUACGGUCAAAUCACGCUGAAAACACCGGUUCUCGUUCGAUCACCGAAGUUAAGCAUCGUAAGGUCAUCGUAGAUGGGGACCGCUUGGGAACCAGGUACUGUAAG